UCGCUAUUCAGCUUACACAAUUCAUCUCCAUCCUAUAUAUGCCCUUAUCACUCCAUCUUCGACUCUCAUCCUUCCUCUCUCAUCGUUCUUUAACAUUUCUAAACACCAUCUCCUCCCCGUUGAAUUGUACUUCAUAUCUUCUUUGAAGCUUUCAAGCAGGCUUAGAAAUGGCGAGGCAAACCCAUGUAGCAUCUGCCUUGGAGCUCAUCAAACAGCAUUUACUAGGUGAUCUUCUCUCACCUGUUGGUAUCUCUUGUUCCUCUUCUGCUUCUACCACCUCUCUAAUUGAUAAUGUAAAUAUAGAGUAUGACUGCUCCCGGGC
rnacentral:misc_RNA from 1 species